GCAGAAGUGGUGGAAUCGGCAGACACGCUAUCUUGAGGGGGUAGUGACCACAAGUCGUACGGGUUCAAGUCCCGUCUUCUGCACCA
rnacentral:tRNA from 1 species